UACGUAGGGUGCAAGCGUUGUCCGGAAUUAUUGGGCGUAAAGAGCUUGUAGGCGGUUUGUCGCGUCUGCUGUGAAUUUCGGGCUCACCCGAACUUGCAGUGGGUACGGGGCAGACUAGAGUGUGGUAGGGGAGGACUGGAAUUCCUGGUGUAGCGGUGGAAAUGCGCAGGAUAUCAGGAGGAACACCGGUGGCGAAGGCGGGUCUCUGGGCCGUAACUGACGC
rnacentral:rRNA from 1 species